GUAUAGUUCAUUUACCUUCUCCUUUGCUUCUGCAAAGAUCUCCUGGUUCAAAGGAAGCUGCCUAAACCCAGCCCUUAAAGCCCGAACCUGCCACUGCUUGUAUGUCUCUGGCCUCUCAAUUCUCUCAGCACCUUCACAUGCAAUGACAUUCAUUGCUUCCCAUCCAAAAAUAUCUCUCUCAAUCAGCAUCCUCUCUGGGAUUUCACGAGGCACAAUAGCCUCCAGCAUAUCAAACAGAGUUGAAUAGUGGAAGAGAGCCUCUCGGAAUCGCGUGAUAAAGAAUGGAGCGCUAUAUGCUCCAUUCACUAUCCCAGUUAUGAAGACAUCUGGGUUCAUCUUCCUGAUCAGAUUGAGAACAAUAUUUCUUGGACUCUCCACCACCACAGUCUCAUCAAGUAAGUUUCUUAAUCGCAACACACAGUUCACUACAAGAACCUCAUCUCUACCAAUCUUGA
rnacentral:misc_RNA from 1 species